rnacentral:misc_RNA from 1 species
AUGCCAGUGGCCGUACAACUGGUAAGCAGUCAAAUGAUUUUCUGGUAAUAAUAAUGUUUAUGUGCCUAAUGAAGUUAAUUUUUCUGUCGAGUGAGAUUUGUUAAUUGGUGUGACAUAAAGCUAGUGUGUAUGGAGUGCUCUCCUGGCCAUAGUUUUUCAUUAUCUUUUAUUUCUGUCAGAGAUGAGUUAAUUUAUUUUCUAUUUAAUUUGUUGUUUGCCUGCAGUCUAAUUUAUCUUAUUCCAAGCAUCACGUGUUUUAUUUUAGCAAAUUGAUUAG